CCUGGUUGAUCCUGCCAGUAGUCAUAUGCUCGUCUUAAAGAUUAAGCCAUGCAUGUCUAAGUAUAAGCUAAUUUAUACGGUGAAACUGCGAAUGGCUCAAUAAAACAGUUAUUGUUUAUUUGAUAAUGAUUUUUCUACAUGGAUAACCGUAGUAAUUCUAGGGCUAAUACAUGCACUUGAAAGGCGACUUCUCGCGAGGAAGCCUUGUAUUUAUUAGAUUAAAAACCAAUGCAGGCGUUUCGGCGUCUGGAAAAACACUGGUGAACCAUAGUAACUUAACGAAUCGCAUGGCCUUUGCGCUGGCGAUGAAUCAUUCAAGUUUCUGCCCUAUCAACUGUCGAUGGUAGUGUAUUGGACUACCAUGGUGUUAACGGGUAACGUAGGAUUAGGGUCCGAUCACGGAGAGGGCGCCUGAGAAACGGCGACCACUUCUAAGGAAGGCAGCAGGCGCGCAAAUUACCCAAUCCUGAUACAGGGAGGUAGUGACAAUAAAUAACAAUAUGGGGCAACUUAAUUGUCUUGUAAUUGGAAUGAGUACAAUUUAAAAACCUUAACGAGGAACCAUUGGAGGGCAAGUCUGGUGCCAGCAGCCGCGGUAAUUCCAGCUCCAAUAGCGUAUGCUAAAGUUGUUGCGGUUAAAAAGCUCGUAGUCGGAUUUUACCCUUUACAUUUAAAGAAGUCGCGUCUGCCGGGAAGGUAUGCAUGUGACUUCAAAGGGUAUUUUGUUUCUGGAAUGUUCACAUAUGUACUUGAUUGGAUGUAUGUAAAAGGAGGGUGGGGGGGCUUCGGUCUUCCCGCUCGCCCGAACUUCUAGACUUUUACUGUGAAAAAAUUAAGUGUUCAACGCAGGCUUCAUAUGCCAUUGAAUAUUUUAGCAUGGGAUAAUAGAAUAGGAUCUUUUCCAUAUUUUAUUGGUUUCCUUGAGAAAGAUAAUGAUUAAUAGGGAUAGUUGGGGGCGUUCAUAUUUAGUUGUCAGAGGUGAAAUUCUUGGAUUUACGAAAGAUGAACUUAUGCGAAAGCAUUCGCCAAGGAUGUUUUCAUUGAUCAAGAACGAAAGUUAGGGGAUCGAAGACGAUUAGAUACCGUCGUAGUCUUAACCAUAAACGAUGGCAGCCAGGGAUUGGAAGAAGUAUCAUGGAUGACUCCUCCAGCACCUUGUGAGAAAUCAUAAGCUUUUGGCCUCCGGGGGGAGUACAGUCAUAAGGCUGAAACUUAAAGGAA
rnacentral:rRNA from 1 species